AUUCCAUGAAAUCAGUGAUAUUGCAAGUGCUUUGAAACAGCAGCAAAGGGCAACAGAAAUGAAGAACUCCUGGUGAUCUCUUCAGAGAAAUUUAUUGCUCCAGCCUCUUGGAUCUGUCAGAAGACAAAAAAGAAGAAAUGACGCAUGCACCGACUGCUUUAGCAGAGUCUUGUGACAAGGGAGAAUGUGUCUAAGUUCGGGGCAGACUUUUUACCUACUGUGGGGAGGAAGAAAAAGGAAUAAGAGGUAAAUUACUCUGCGUGUCCUGAGAGGCCGGAACUAAGAUAACAGAUGCUGAUGGAGUCAUCUGAGGCUGCCAGCUACCCUAGCCUUUAUAUCAACUGAUGUAGGAAGAAGAAAAUGAGCCAGGAAAGUAGGUUAAUCUCCUAGAGAAACACAAAAUAGGUAGCAAGUAGCAUUUUUACACCUUUCACUCUUUAAUUGCUUCAGACCCAGAGUUGUGGAGCACAAGGAAUUCCUUUUGUGUCCUUAGCUUACCUUUAUCACCCUUUUAGUGGUGUUUCCUGUUCUGAUAUGUUGUUUUUGUAUCUGAGCGAACUACUCAGCUAGGUGUUUGCCCCAAAGCAACCCACAACUUUCAUUUCCAUGCAAGAGACUUUUAGUGCAACUUGCUAUUGGGAGACAAUCAACUUUCUACUAAAUCACUGACAGAAAAACAAGAGUCAGGUUUGUGGUAAGAUGUCACUACAUUAUUUUUUUAUUUAUUCACAGAGUACUCACCACUGGAAGUAGGACAUGCAAUCCUAACUUGGCAUGACAAAAGUCCAUGAAAAUACAAAAAUCUUACAUGGGAGACUACAUGCAAUUUCUAUUCCUUAGGGAUCACCAAAAGACCCCUCACCACUAUAUUGUAGCAUCCGGCCACAGAGUUCAAUAUUUCUUUUCCAAAGGGAUGAAAGAGUCCGUGGAAUAACUACAGAUAUAAUUUUCUAUUGCAUCUAUCACUACUGAUACUGCUGCUUCAGAAAUUGUGUGAGAGAAGAAUGAUGCUUUUAUGUACUAGGCUCUUCCUUUUUUCCCAAACAGUGUCACUUGAUUUAGGAGAAAGUCUAAUGAAUCCCUUCUAUAAAAUUCCCUGAAAUUACUCACAGUGUGCAGUAUGAAUUUAGGAUAAAUAAAUUGCACAAGAUUGAAAA